AUGCUACUUCCCUCCGUGUCAAAAUUCUUGUCUUAGAUUUGUCUAGAUAUAAAUGUAUCUAGUCACGUUUUAGUAUUUUGAUACAUCCAUUUCUAAACAAACUUAAGACAAGAAUUUUGGGACGGAGGGAGUAUUUG
rnacentral:pre_miRNA from 1 species